rnacentral:rRNA from 1 species
GACGAACGCUGGCGGCGUGCUUAACACAUGCAAGUCGAACGAAGUGGCGAACGGGUGAGUAACGCGUAAUCAACCUGCCCAUCAGAGGGGGACAACAGUUGGAAACGACUGCUAAUACCGCAUACUGAAGGAGGGGAUUGCGUCGGAUUAGCUAGGUGGCGGGGUAACGGCCCACCAAGGCGAUGAUCAGUAGGCGGUCUUGGAGGAAGAACGGCCACAAUGGGACUGAGACACGGGCCAAGCUCCGAAGGGGGGCAGCAGUGGGGAAACUUCCGAAAUGGGCGAAAGUCUGACGGAGCAACGCCGCGGGAGUGAUGACGGCCUUCGGGUUGUAAAGCACUGUUAAUCGGGACGCGGUACCGGAAUAGAAAGCCACGGCUAACUACGUGCCAGCCGCCGCGGUAAUUC